rnacentral:rRNA from 1 species
CAGUCGCCACGGUAAUACGUAGGGUGCAAGCGUUAAUCGGAAUUACUGGGCGUAAAGCGUGCGCAGGCGGUUUGUUAAGACAGAUGUGAAAUCCCUGGGCUCAACCUGGGAACUGCAUUUGUGACUGGCAAGCUAGAGUCUGGCAGAGGGGGGUGGAAUUCCGCGUGUAGCAGUGAAAUGCGUAGAUAUGCGGAGGAACACCGAUGGCGAAGGCAGCCCCCUGGGCCAACACUGACGCUCAUGCACGAAAGCGUGGGGAGCAAACAGGAUUAGAUACCCCGGUAGUCCCUGUCUCUUAUAC